AACUUUUUUCUGAAUGUGGGAGGAGAGAGAGGAAGGUACCAUUACUAUGAAAAUUCCAGUUUCCAAGCAAAGGAAAAUCUAUCGUUUUGAUGAUUGCUUCCUUCCCCAUUCAACGCUACCAUGGGUUUCAGAAUGGACUCUGAGAUUUGUCACGAAGUUAUUCUUCUCUAUUUCUGAUUAUCUUUUGGUCUUCUUUGAAAACUUCUCCAACUGUUACAAGAGGAUAACACUAGUAGUGACCUCACAAGAUUGUGGGGAGGAUAAUUGAGGUAUUUAAUAUAAGAUACAUAGAACAGUGCCCAGCACACUUUGCUAUUUUAAAAUGUUAGCUAUCUUAUUGUUUAUGGAUUUAACUAUUUAAUAUUCACAGGAUAAACAGGAAAGUUUUACCUGUUCUUAUCUCUUCCAACUGCCUUUUGUACUUUACAUUGAAAAUAAAUUUGUAUAAAAGACAGAAGGUGAUUUACCAAGGGAAACCCAGUAUAUUAAUUACCUUCUCUAUUAAGUUCUACUAUAGGUAAUUUAUGCAUAUCUUAUUUAGUUCAUGAUUUAUAUAAUAUUGGCAUUAUUAUUCUCAUUUAUGAAGAAACCAAGACAGAGAGAAAAAAGGGAUUUAGCUUAUGGAACACAUAGAUAAAUAACAGAGAUAAGGCUCAAACCCAGAUCUAACUUCACAGUUUUGUAUUCUUUCCAGAGUGCUUAAGAAUUUAAUUUCAGCAUAUACUUGGAAACACUGCUAUUCUAACAUUAUUUUUGCCAACUUUUGCUAAUAUUUUGAAUCAUUUUAAGAACCUGGGUAUUCUUCAGUUCUAUAUGUUUUUAACAAUUGACCAGAAGAUAGUACUGGUCUGUCUCCAAUCAAAUACUGAACACUCACUGUCCAUUGACAAAGAUUUCUGCUUGACCAAAUUUUAGUCGGGCAUCUGAACUUUCUCAUGCCUCUUUUCCCCUAUCCUUGUAAAAUCCAGCUUUAGCAAUAACUCCCUAUGCUACCCUUGUUAUCAGUGUGAGUUCCUCAUCCUCCACCAUCCCCCUGGGUCUGAUCACCUGGUCUUUCUUCUGCAAGAAUCCUGCUGGGUCAGUUGAGUCAGGAUCUCCCUCACCCCUGAUGCUUCCUCUUAGUUAUUUUCCAUCCAUUGAGCCUCACCCUGGUUCUAGGCUGUACAUUCCCAACUUGCUGUGUUUAGAGUUGAGGCCAAUUUCUCUCCCUGGCUGUGAAACCUCAGGUGCAGUGCUCCCUGAACCUAUUGCAAUGGUCCUAAAUAAACAUUACCUUCGUUUGGAACACUAUUCUAUAGAUAUUCGAGGCUUGGUUAUGUGUUACCAUAGUACUAAAUGUAGAGAAUAUAAUGAUGUACUGUUUAACAGAUUCUAUUACUAUCCCUGUUUUGCAUCGAGAAAACUGAGGCACAGAGAGGUUAAGUAACUUGACCACAAUCAUACAGAUAUGUAGCAGCAAAACUUGGUUUUGAACCCAACCAUUCUGGCCCUAACAUCAGCACUAAUUGCACUUCCUCUCCUGUGGAAGAUAAACCUGUAAACCUGACAACUGAAAUAUAAGAAAAAGCAGUUAUUGUAAGAGGAUUAGAAUGAGAUGGAGAAUCUGAGCUGGGCUUGGUGGGGCUAACCCACACUUGAGGGAGGGGACCUUAAGGAGAAGGAAACAGGAGACGGAAGAAAGAUUUCUUCAGGCUGAAGGAGCAUAAAGAGGUUAUUAAGCCCAAGGAGUAGGAGAGGGGUGAGCAGGCCAUUAGAACCUUGUUGGCUGGAGAAAGGAGUAUGGGGUCUUUACUUUAAAGGCAGUUAAACAGUGAAUUACAUGGUAGACAUGGUAAGACUGUGUUUAGAGAGACCAUUUGGCUUCAGGACAGAGAAAAUAUUGCAGAGUAUGGUACACAAGUUAGAAAGUAAAUAGAGGUUAACGCACAGAGGAAUGACAACCAGAUUUAUGUCCUAAGUCUGGCAACACAGGACAAGGAGCAGGGAAGAACCUAAAGGGUUAGAUUUUGGACAUGUCCAGAUGCCCGUGCUGUUUUCAGGAGAGACAAACAUUCUUAGGGGGCAGUUUUAUUAGGGUCUGAGGCUGACCCUCCUCAUAAUUAUUGUAAUAGGCCAGGUCUCUGAAAAGAAAAGAAGAUGCAAAUAGCUCUAAAAUAUUUCAGGAAAUUCAGAAUGCUUCAGUAUGGCCAUCUUCAAGAUGGAUUACAUGACGAUAACGACUUAGACACAAAACAAGAUCAAACAGUGACAUAAAUACAAUUGAGAAGUGCAAAAUGCUUCAGAGAUGACUAGAAUUUGAGAAAGGAAAUAUUAAUAUCCAGUACUGGAAAGUGACAGAUAGAAAAUAGUUGACAGAAAGCAUAAGAGUAAUAAAUUACCAAAGAGAAACAUGGAUGUGCAAAUUAAGAGUUGUUGAUUGGAAAGAAAUUUUUUUUUUUCUUCAAAGAUGGGAAGAUCAUUAUGUUGUGUGCAGACACAUUAGUCAGUUUAUCAAGCCUGCCAAUGCCCUUUCUGAGAAAUUCUGUUCCCACAACCCCUGCUGAGCAGGCAGUGGGCAUACUCCCUGGACUGAGAUACUUGGAAAUGGGCUGGUAGGAUAUUUUACCUAGGGCAAGAGUGUGGAGUUGGCCAGUCUCUGUUGGCCACUCUGGCUAGGGCUGGGGUGGCCAUUUUGUUUCACUGCCAACAAAAGCAGGGACCCUUCCCUCCAGAGAAAGGGAUCAUCUGUCUUACAGAUGGAGUCCAGUUCCUAUUUAUGGAACCCAUCAGGCCCAGCUGGCUCUGGACUCUAUCACACUCCUGUUUCCUCCUCAUAUAUUUCCACAGGCUGGCUUAAGUAGUCUUGUUUCUUUCUAACCAAUUCAUCCAGGGCUAACACAGCUUUACUCAGACACUUAGUGGUUUUAAGAAUACCUAUUAAUAAAUCAUAGAACCUCAGAGUAGGGAGGCCCUGGCCCAACCUUCCUUGCAGAAAUGGCUCUCGACAGCAUUUCUAAUAUGCAAUACUUCUUGAUCAAGUAUGAUUCUCCCCUGAGACAGUGUAUGUCAUGCUUAGAGCUCGCAUUCUAGACAACUCCUUAGAACUCCAGACUCGUAUUGUUGAUCAACAUCUCCGUGACUGCGUUUCAUCUUAGACAUCCAAACUCAAUAUGCCCCAAAUUAACUGAGGCAUUUCCUCCCCAAAUCUGACACUCUUACAGAGCUUCCUUUCCCAGCGAGUGGCAUCACUGCCCUUAGUGACUACCUAGGAUUCCUUUCCUGAUGCUGUGGAAGUCCAGCAGAACGCUAUGUGAAAGCCUCAGAAAAAUGAGCAUCCUGGAAUUUCAGUCAUCUUAAGUUAUAUUUUACUGCCCUAAGUACAAAAAACACAUUCUCAGCAAAGUAAGAAAUCUCAAGCUGGAGGAUUAAAUAUCCAGAAGAGAAAUUUCUCAAGUCUCUCCAGAUUGGCAUGAAUUGAUGGCUAUGGGAUUGCGUCUGUUCAGUGUGUAGCCCUGCCAGUUUUCAGUGAGACCUAACUGGGGGCUUGCAGAUACUUAUACCCCUUAAACACAUCAUUCUGAAACUCUAGCACAAUUAACUUACAUACUUGUAAACAACCACCACAAUACGUCUUUAGAAAGCCAAAUCACUAGAAUAAUAUCUAGUUAUAUUUUCUUAUGCCACAGUUACAUCUUGCUCCAUUGUCCAGAAGUUACAUAACAGUAACUAGGUGUCCUAUGCAAACAUCGUAUUAAACUAACAAUGGACAGUGCCUACCCUGGUGCAGUGCAUUAUCUUCCAUGCCAGAUGACCGAAUGUGCACAUGACAGGCCUUGCCAGGGAUUUCUGCAGUCUUCGUGCUCUCCCUUGCCUCCCAGAUUCAAAUCACCGUGAUUUGGGUUUAUCUCCUCAAACUCUUGCAAGUCUGUCACUGUAUUUUUAAACCCACUGCUAUCACCUUGAUCCAUUUCACUGUCAUUUCUCCUCUGAAACAUGAGAAUAAUUUCCUAACUCUGUUUUCACCAUCCACUUCCCAUCCACUCUCUACAUUGCAGGAAGAGUGAUCUCUUACAAAUUUGCUCAUAUUAUACAUGCAUGCAUACACACACACACUUGGCUUAAAACACUUCAGUGGACUCUCACUGCUCAUAGGCUAACAAGUGAAAAAUCUUAACAUGGCCCACAAGCCCUACGUUGUCUGGAUUUUCCUUACCUCUGAUCUUAAUCGUGCCUUCCUUUCAGCUCUCACACAUGCCACUCCUGUGCCAGCCCUUCUCCUGCUCAUCCUCAAGAGCGCAAGUCAAGCAUCACUCCCUCAGGGGAGGCUUUCCUCAUCAUUUGAACUAGCUCAGGUUCCUCCUAUUACAUGCUCUUGUAGCAUCCUGAAUCUUCCCUUCAUAGCAUUGUUAACUGUUGCAACUUUGCAUAUAUUUGUGGGGUUAUUUGAUUCAUUUAUUUUCCUCACUAGAAUAUUAACUGCACAAAGAGAAGAAUGUUUUUUCCUAUUGUUUUGUUCACUGCUAAUCCCAUUGGUAGGAUGAUGCUGACAACGUUUAGGUCUAUAAUAAACAGGUGUUGAAGAAGUGAAAGAAUGCUCACCAUUCAAACUCUGGCACCUAGCUCAAAGAUUGGAGCCCGCCACCACUGAAUGAAUAUGUGACAGAAGAAAGAUGUUCAGGAGCAGGAUGGAGGUGACAGUUCAGUGGGAUGCAGGGACCAAGACAAGUGGCAUGCCAUAUGAUGAGUGACCAGAAAUGUUAGAAAGAAUGGAAGAUGUUUCCUGCAGCUUCGCUACUCUGGAGGGUGGAAUGAAUUGUGACAAAUGUCAACUUUCAUGGCUCAAUGAGCCCUUUCCUGAGCCUGUCAACAGUGAACUAAAGAAAUAGAAUCUCUCUCUCUCCAGUCAACAGUAGAACAGUGCUUGCGUUCCCAAUAUUUAUGGAUAUGUUUAUACAAUUCUCACAAACAUGACACCAACGGCCUGGGAUCAACUCAGACAAGCGGUAAAGAAAAACAAAAUGAUUCUUUGAAAGGAUGCAUAUUUAAAAAAAUAAAAUAAAAGAUGUGCUUCAACUGAGAUCUACAUGAUGUAGCAAACAAAAACAGGUAUGAAAAUCCCUUGAACUAAGUUUCACUGGAUUAACAUACCAGAUCAAUUCUCAUUAAUCACAACAGUUAUGUUCUAUCAAGUCACUUUGAAUACUGGAAUCACGGGUACUGAGUCCUUGUUCCUUUGAGCCACUGCUCCUAGGGGAAACACAGGCUUAGGUUUCUGUGAGCCUCUGGUCAUGACAUUUUUGUCAACUGAUCAAUAUAUAACUUUGUUUUUUGUGUGUUUCUCUUUAAAGACAUUUUAAUAAAUAGUAUUGAUUCAUUAAUAUUGAUCUCAUAGCCAACAGGACUGUACCUCAUGUAUGAUGAAACUUAUUUAACACAUAUUUUCUCUAUAAGGCACAUGUCAGCCUUCCUAUGCUUAAAAACACUGGACAGCACUUCAGGACUAUAGUUGGGGGCGAUUUUAAACAGCAAAAUCAAAGGACAAAAGUGCAAAAAAUGUGGCAAUUAAUAGACCACGAAGAAAGAUGCUUGUUUACGAUAAGAGCUGAAACAAGGUGGCAGAACAUCACCUGGUUCUACCUCAGCUGGGAGUACAUAUGUUGGAUGACUCCAAUUUCUUACUGCUCUACACAUGUCCAUAAAUAAAUGUGUAAACACAGUGAAUGUUGAUUCUGGGUUACAAAUAAAGUUCAGAAAGAGGCAAAUUCACAAGUAUGGAAUUUGUGAAUAAUGAGGGUCAACUAUAAAUAUGAAUCUCAAACUUAUAAUUUGCAAUUCCUUUCACAUAUGUUGGAGUGAAUAGGAAACUAGAGCAUUUAUUUGACAUAACUGGGACUCAUACCAGGAUCCUCUAUGAAUGGCACAAUUAGCUCUUUGAGUUGGUGGAAUCGCUGAUUGGAUUGGUGAAGGGAUUAGGAUUAAGUAGCUCAAAGGCAAGGCCACUGUGUAAUACAUAUCUCCUUGUUUAGUUGGGAAAACACUAGAAGUCGGCUAACAUAGCUGAAAGAAACCAGAAUAUCUCAACUCCUUUGGCAUAUUUUGAGGUGCCUAUUCCGAGGGGCUGCAGAUCACAAAAACAGCCUUGAAAAGCUGCCCUUUUGCUGGGGAGAUUUGCAUCUGGAGAGGAAAUCCACAUUAGUAAAAUGAAGUAAACAACAGAUGCAAACAGACUUUCUCUGAGGACCUCUUAUCUGGAUCUAGGAAAGAUUAACUCACAGGAAAAGGAGGCUGAAGUCUGACAAUAUAAGAUUCUCAUAGAGAAGCUUUUACCACAAGCUCCCAUCUAUUCCUUCUGAGAGCUGCUACCUGAGAGGUUUCCCUCUGCCUAACAGGACCCCUUCACUCCCAGGCCUUUCCUCCUUUCUCCCUCCCAUAACCCCUUCCUGACAUGUUCAAAGUCCCUAUUCUUCCUGUCCUGCAAGGCUAGUAUAAAAACUUCAGUCAUCUAAGCCCUUCUUCUGAGUCUCAUUCUUUGUGUAUAACUCCCAUGUCCAUACAUGUGUUAAUAAAUGUGUAUACCUUUUUUUCCUGUUAA